GAUGAACGCUGGCGGCGUGCUUAACACAUGCAAGUCGAACGGUGAAGCCAAGCUUGCUUGGUGGAUCAGUGGCGAACGGGUGAGUAACACGUGAGCAACCUGCCCUGGACUCUGGGAUAAGCGCUGGAAACGGCGUCUAAUACUGGAUAUGAGCCCCUAUCGCAUGGUGGGGGUUGGAAAGAUUUUUUGGUCUGGGAUGGGCUCGCGGCCUAUCAGCUUGUUGGUGAGGUAAUGGCUCACCAAGGCGUCGACGGGUAGCCGGCCUGAGAGGGUGACCGGCCACACUGGGACUGAGACACGGCCCAGACUCCUACGGGAGGCAGCAGUGGGGAAUAUUGCACAAUGGGCGAAAGCCUGAUGCAGCAACCGCCGCGUGAGGGAUGACGGCCUUCGGGUUGUAAACCUCUUUUAGCAGGGAAGAAGCGAAAGUGACGGUACCUGCAGAAAAAGCGCCGGCUAACUACGUGCCAGCAGCCGCGGUAAUACGUAGGGCGCAAGCGUUAUCCGGAAUUAUUGGGCGUAAAGAGCUCGUANGCGGUUUGUCGCGUCUGCUGUGAAAUCCCGAGGCUCAACCUCGGGCCUGCAGUGGGUACGGGCAGACUAGAGUGCGGUAGGGGAGAUUGGAAUUCCUGGUGUAGCGGUGGAAUGCGCAGAUAUCAGGAGGAACACCGAUGGCGAAGGCAGAUCUCUGGGCCGUAACUGACGCUGAGGAGCGAAAGGGUGGGGAGCAAACAGGCUUANAUACCCUGGUAGUCCACCCCGUAAACGUUGGGAACUAGUUGUGGGGACCAUUCCACGGUUUCCGUGACGCAGCUAACGCAUUAAGUUCCCCGCCUGGGGAGUACGGCCGCAAGGCUAAAACUCAAAGGAAUUGACGGGGACCCGCACAAGCGGCGGAGCAUGCGGAUUAAUUCGAUGCAACGCGAANAACCUUACCAAGGCUUGACAUAUACNAGAACGGGCCANAAAUGGUCAACUCUUUGGACACUCGUAAACAGGUGGUGCAUGGUUGUCGUCAGCUCGUGUCGUGAGAUGUUGGGUUAAGUCCCGCAACGAGCGCAACCCUCGUUCUAUGUUGCCAGCACGUAAUGGUGGGAACU
rnacentral:rRNA from 1 species